rnacentral:rRNA from 1 species
ACAGCAGUAGCCGCGGGAAUACGUAGGUGGCAAGCGUUGUCCGGAAUUAUUGGGCGUAAAGGGCUCGCAGGCGGUUUCUUAAGUUUGAUGUGAAAGCCCCCGGCUCAACCGGGGAGGGUCAUUGGAGACUGGGAAACUUGAGUGCAGAAGAGGAGAGUGGAAUUCCACGUGUAGCGGUGAAAUGCGUAGAGAUGUGGAGGAACACCAGUGGCGAAGGCGACUCUCUGGUCUGUAACUGACGCUGAGGAGCGAAAGCGUGGGGAGCGAACAGGAUUAGAUACCCCAGUAGUCCCUGUCUCUUAUAU